GUGGGUAUAGCUCAGUGGUAGAGUGCAUGCUUAGCAUGCAGGAGGUCCUGGGUUCAAUCCCCAGUACUUCCA
rnacentral:tRNA from 1 species